AGGGAGUGGGUCCUGUGGGAGGGUCAGUACUGAGGGAGUGGGCCCUGUGGGAGGGUCAGCACUAUAGACAAUAUCAGCACCAAUAAGACUCCCCCUCCUCCCCCCAGUUUAGCAGGAUCUUGCUUUGUGAUAAUUCCCAGGUGAGUUCCUGGUCAGUGCUGUGUCUGUGAGCUCUCCAGCCCAUCCUCUCUCUCUACCUUCCUCUGCAGGACAGUCAGGACCUUUACAGCGACUGCCUGCGGACCUUCUGGUCCUGCCCGACAUGUGACCUGUACGCGCCCCUGACACCCCUGGAGCGCAUGGGCCACGAGGCAAGCUGCGGAGCCAAGGAACCCGGCUCGCCCGACCUCGGUCUCGAAGGGGCCCCCCCGGCGCCGUCCGCCCUCCAGGUCUCCUACCGCUGCCAGGUCUGCCAGCAGGACUUCCUCUUCACCCCCACGCAGGCCCUGAGGCACAAGAGGCAGCACGCCCAAAGGGAGGGCACGUAACACGGAACACCGUCCCCCUGCCCGCGGGGACACUCCAGCAACAAUGCCACGUUGCGAGGGGGAGCUCGAUCGUCAGAGGCCGUCCAUCUUGUUUGCAAAAACAAAAAUGGGAGUGUUCUAUGCCACUCGAGGCUGUCACAGCAGCGUGACUGUUUACAUAGAUUUGUAACCUUGGAGGUUUUUCGCAAAGAAACACUGAUGGCCACCA